GACGAACGCUGGCGGCGUGCCUAAUACAUGCAAGUAGGACGCAGUUGCGAACGGGUGAGUAACGCGUAGGUAACUACCUAUUAGAGGGGGAUAACUAUUGGAAACGAUAGCUAAUACCGCAUACUAGUAGAUGGACCUGCGUUGUAUUAGCUAGUAGGUAGGGGAAUGGCCUACCUAGGCAACGAUACAUAGCCGAGCUGGAAGGGGGAUCGGCCACCCUGGGACUUGGACACGGGCCAGACUCCGUCGGGAGGCAGCAGGAGGGAAUCAUCGGCAAUGGGGGGAACCCUGACCGAGCAACGCCGCGGGAGUGAAGAAGGUUUUCGGAUCGUAAAGCUCUGUUGUUAAGGAAGCGGUACUUAACCAGAAAGGGACGGCUAACUACGUGCCAGCAGCCGCGGUAAUUC
rnacentral:rRNA from 1 species